CUUGCACGUGCACGGUAGACCAUUCUCACGUGAACAAAUGGCUAGUAGUUCGAAGUGUGAGGUGCUAUGCUGACAGAUCGUGGGAAUUGCGCUUUCUCUGCGAGCAGUUACCACACUCAAAAUCGACUUUCUCGAGAAACAAUUGACUCCAGAAAAGCUUCACGUGAUGCAGUUAUUAUACAAGAUGGCAGAAAUCAAGGAAUAUGAACAAUCCAGGACAUUUGUUGUUGUAAAUUCAGUUAAUAUGUAGUGAUUCUAGAUGAGUAACCUGGAUAACUUCCAUUGUUGCACCUGCCAGAAGACGAAUUACAUGUGUGGUUUAGGCAUAAGUCACCUAUGUUUCGAUUAAUUAACAUUUUCUGGAUCUCGAUAAGUUCAUCUUUCGAGAUUCUCCAGAGUUACACAGAAAGUGCCUUUUCUUCAGGGAGCUGCCGUGACCAAUUUUCUGAAGAAAUGAGUGCAACUAAGUUUGUAUGACUCGUAGUGCAUUUAGCCAUUGUACUUUGUACAUUUGAUAGAUUAUUUGCAGGAUCUUUUGGGAGACCAGCCAUGCUGAAAGUGAUUUCUGAAUAGAUUUGCAACAUGA